CCCAAGGCAGAGGGUGGAGGGGCAGGGAGGACAAUCUAGAGCAAGUGACAUCUCAAGUGGCCUGAACGAUGGCAGGAGCCAGCUAAAUCAAGGGACACUAAAAGGAGAAAGUGUCACACCUUCAAGAAACUAAAAACCACUCAAUGAAAGGGAAGGAUGAGCUGUGUGAGGUCGGAGCGGCAAGGCAAGCAGAGGCUGGAUCCAACUGGCUUGACUCUGGACCUUAAGACACAGGCCUCAGCACCUGCUGUUCCUGUGCCACUGUGCAAAUAGGAAGCCUUCCAGGGCACCAGGCUGCCAAUGUCCUGAUGCAAAAGAUGGAACUGGGAUAAAGCUGAUCUUGGGAACCCUGGACCACCAUGUGAAAAAGCUAAACUUUGGGCUAGCCUAUUGGAGGGUUAGAGACCAAAUGGAAUAGAGAUAAGCUUCUCAACCAAGGCCUCCUAAAUCAAUCAUCCAGCCAAGCACCAGACAUAUUAGUGCCAUUACGUGAGGUCAUCUGGACCCCAGCCAAGCUGCCACUUGACUGAGCUCAGACCAGGUAAACCACCCACAGCUGGCAGAAAAUUAUAUGAAAUAAUAUAUGUUUAUGUUUCAAGCCACUAAGUUUUGAAGUGUUUUUUUAUGCAGCAAAAGCUAACUGUACACAAGAAUUUUCUGGAA